AAAUUCUCAACGGUGGAUGUCUUGGUUCCCACAACGAUGAAGAACGCAGCGAAGUGCGAUAAGCAGUGCGAAUUGCAGAACCGUGAGUCAUCAGAUUUUUGAACGCAACUGGCGCCGUGCGGGGCAGCUCGCCGGCACGCCUGGUCCAGUG
rnacentral:rRNA from 1 species